UCGUGACGCGUCCUUCUCCCUGCCUGUCCCCACCAGCGGAAGGCAGCGCGCGCUCUGUUCUAAUAGCAGUGCUGAGUGAAUCCUGAAACAUCUGCCAAAAUGGUGAACUUCACAGUGGACCAGAUCCGUGCCAUCAUGGACAAGAAGUCCAAUAUCCG